UCCGAAUUGGUGUAGUGGCUAACAUUUGACGUUCUCAAAGUCGAAGAACUUCAGGAUCGUCAAGCCCGGGGUUCGAUUCCCCGAUUCGGAA
rnacentral:tRNA from 1 species